GUGCAGGCUAGGAAGGUGCUAUCCCCCCUGCACCCAGCCAGCCAAAUAGAAUGGACCUGCUCUACAACUACUUUGUGGAUAUAGAGUUUGUUCUGCAAGUCAGUUUUGGCGAGCCAGCCAGGAGAACUCUUUGCUGGACCACAGGGCUGGUCAGACCAGGGGAUGCUUCUGGCGCGCCCUGAAAACAAUUUUUUUUUUUUGAGAAGACUCCCCAGGCCAACACGUCCAUAUUCCCUGUGGGGCAGGGAAAGAGCUCCUGCGCAGACCAGAUUUGAUUCUUCCUUGCUAUUUCCAGUUCAGUGGUUGUAGAGCUGGUGGGAAAGAUCAACAACAAGGUUAACAAAACAUGAAGCAUUACAGGAAGUAUGAAUGUCUGCAUUUGUGCCCAUCUUUUUGUUCCUUCAGAUAAAGCAAACAAUUACUAACUUCACUGCAGAGACAGCUGAUACACUUCAGUGGGCUGAAAAUUUAUUGAAAGUUUCAGGCAAAACAAUUAAAUCACCUGGUAUACCCCAAACUAUCAUCAAUCCACGGAACUGGAGAAUUAACUCUUCAACUCGCAAGGCUCUACAUGAUGUUAUGAUGUGGACGACUGAUAACAAAAAUCAUAAAACCAUGGCAGUAUAGCCCAGAUCUCAUCAGUGUGUAUAAAUGUCUAAAAGAAGAAUGCAAAGAACACUGGCUCUUUUCAGUGGUGUGGAAGAGACAAUGGGCACAAACUGGAAAACAAGAGGUUCCAUCUGAACAUAAGGAAGAACUUUACUGUGAGCACUGGCACAAGCUGCCCAGAGAAGUGAUGAAAACUCUCCCCUUGGGCUUUUCCUUGGAUGGCUUCUAAAGUUACUUGGACGUGGUCCUGGGCAAUCUGCUCUGGGUGUCUGCUUGAGCAAAGGAGUUGAACCAGGUGACCUAUAGGGGUCCUUUCCAACGUCAGUCAUUCUGUAAAAAUGUGAUUAUGCAGUGCUAGGAUGUCCUGGGAUCUUUAUAGGCUAGGCUGUGUUUUCUGUUUAGUGGUGGUGGUUCUUUAUUUUUGUUAUCUGUUUGAUUGUUUUGAUGUGAUUACUGGACAUAUAUAAAUAUCAACCACUUGUGCCCUUUGUCAAGGAAAGAAAACCAGACUCUUUGCUUCUUUAAUCUAACAGGUUUUUGUUUUCUAAUUGUCUGAACUCAUACCACAGAUUUUCCUGUGGAGGUGUCUGUAUAAUCUACUAGAUAUGCACAGUUUUUAAAUUAACAUUUGAAUGUAUGCAGGUAUAUAUAUUUUUAUGUCUGUCAAUAUAUAAUUUUCCUAACUAAAUAUAUAUACUCAAAAUAUAAUCUUUCCAAAAUGUACAGCCUCUUGUAAAUAAAUUUGAUCCCUUACAGGUACUUGCUGAAGUGACCUGAAUGCUUUUUCAUAAAGGGUGAAAUUAGAAACUUCAUAAUUUUUAAUGUUUUAAUAAAAUUUUCAGCCUCUCUGUUGAAAAUCUUUUAAAUUUCUUCUAAAAAUGUCAGCCUUCUGGAUACAUUUUCCAGCAAAAAACAAACAAAUCUGUGAUUUUUUUCCAAAUUAACAGAAGUUUUGCAAAAUCAUAGUCUAAACUAGGACCUAUUAGGCCAUUUAUGGUGUUUUAAACACUGCACUCACAAUAAAACCAACAAUUUACAUUAUUUUUCCAUCUACUUUUU